GACAGAGGCCUCAAGCGUUAGGCGGAAUCACUGGGCUUAAAGCGUGUGUAGGCGGAUCGUUAAGUGUCUUGUGAAAUCCCACGGCUCACCCGUGGAACGGCUGGGCAUACUGGCGAUCUUGGGCCAACUAGGGGCAACUGGAACAAGCGGUGGAGCGGUGAAAUGCGUAGAUAUCGCUUGGAACGCCAAAGGUGAAAACAGGUUGCUGGGGUUGUGCCG
rnacentral:rRNA from 1 species